AUGCCCCAUCUCCUCUCUCACACCAAAAAUAGCUUCUACUUUUCUUCCCUUUUAGCAACAACAAACCAGAGCUGGAGCGCUUUCAAUACACGGAAUGCAUUUUGCAAGAGUUAUCGCUCAUACCGAAACUCAGUCCCAUCUAACACUGACGUUAUAAAUCACCAUCGCACACACGGCUUCCCCCCCUGCCCCGCCAUGGCGGCCGGGCUCCGCUCGCAGCACGAGGCCCGGCCCUGCAGGCUGCGGGCGGCCGCACCGAGCCCGGCGCUGCCCCGGGGUGAGUCAGCAGCGAAGCCCAGAGCUCCGGGACAGCCUCCCCGCAGCCGUCCGGUUUCGCCGCCGCUUUCAGAACGGAUGGAAGCGCCGACCGCGUCGUCCCAACCCAAGGGACACCCCCUCCCAAACCCCGCACUCGGCGCGACGAGCUGGCCACGCACUUGGCUUCGCGAGGAUCCAGGCGUCGCGCCGAGAGCCCGAACCGCAGAAAGCGGCGGAGGAAACUCCCCACGCGCGGGCUGCGGGGAUCCGAGCCGCCCCAGAGCACGGCCGGGCCGCCCCGACAGCCAGCCGCAGAGCGGAGGGUCCGGGUCGCCGCCCCCCGGGCGCGGGCAGCGCGGGGCUCACAGCCGCAGCGGGGCGCGGAGCGGCGGCCACUUGUUGCCGCGCGCCCACGGAACCACGGAGGCGGAGCGCGGCCCCAGGCCCGGGGCUCGGCUCGCAGCCGGGGCUCCGCCGGGAGCUCGGGGCCGCGCGGACACGGAGGUGCGGCCCCACAGCCCCGCACGGAGCGGCGGCCCCGCCGCGCGCUCCGACCGGUGCGGGACGGACGGGCCCCGCUCCGCUUUACGUAACAUCGGCUCCCCCCCCCCCCCCCCGCGCCCGCUCGCCCCGCGCGGGGCCCUCCCUCCAUCCGUCCCUACCUACGCCUUCCGCCGACCGCCGCCCCCCAUGGCCGCCGCGCUCCUCCUCCCGUCGCGGGGCCGCCUCAGCGCCCGGCGGGGCAGCGAGAGGCGCGGGGGCUCGGCCCCUCCAUCCGCGCCGCGGUUAUAA
rnacentral:lncRNA from 1 species